AAACUGUAACCCCCACUGUGAUGCAGUUCACUGCCACUUAAAUGGAGAUCAUAACAAAACCUUUGCCAAAUGGUACAUUGUUGAAGUCUCAAUACUUUACAAAGGAACACACGAGGUGCAGAUUCUGCUAACCACCCAUCAUCUCACCGUUCGAAGCCCCUCAGGCAGAAAAUAUCAGCAUUCCUUUUUGAAGGAAAAAAAAGCUGGAGAUGGUCUUCCUACAGAAUCAGUAGACAAGCUGGGGCUCGAAUUCAGCGAAAUCAACAGAGCCAGACUCGAUUGGGGGCAUGAGGUACGCAGCAAUGAUCUCAGACACCAGAGCGGCAACGUGAGGAAUCCUCUUCAGGUUCUUCACCAGGGGGAUAUCGUCAGACUCGCCUAUGGCAAUGAUCUUUUUGUUGAUCUCCACCAUCCUGUCUAACUUCCUCUUGAAUUCAGGGUUCUCGACGUCAAGAACAGCGGGGAAAAUCCUUGCUGUUGUGCGGUUGGUCUCAAUUAUCACAUGCAUGUCGAAUUCUUUGGUGUCCAGACCAAUCCCUUCAUAGAAUGUAGUACGUUGGCAAUCAUUUAGGUACAUGGUCACAUACACCGAGAGGCAGAAGAACCGUGACCAGAGCUUGGCCUUCCAGUCGUUGAGGAACUGCGGCUGCGCCUUGAGCAGCGCGGAGAAGAAAUCACCGUGACGGUUCUCAUCCUGGCACCAGUUCUCAAAGUACUUGAAGAUGGGAUAGCAUUGGUACUCUGGAUUCGCCUUCAGAUGCCUGUAUAUGGUUAUGUACCUCCAGUAUCCAAUUUUCUCACUUAGAUAUGUUGCAUAG
rnacentral:misc_RNA from 1 species